AUUUAUAUAGUUUAUCUUAAAACCCUUCAUUUUCAAUGAAGAAAUAAAGAUUUCAUCUUUUAUAAAUA
rnacentral:tRNA from 2 species